CCAUACCCCGUCCGGUAUGAGCGCCAAAUGACCAAGUCUCCAUACCCUGUCCGGUAUGAGACAACGUUCACGGUAGGAUUUUCUAUGAACCCGGUCCGUCCACUAUCUCCCAGGAUAUCUAGCGAGGCUGUCAUCUUAUCCAUUUAUCAGAUCACAUCUCAUUCCUGUUUGUCCUUAGUCUCCGUCACCAAAUCAAACAUAAAUACAUAAAUAAGUAACAUGCAUCCAACAAUGCAAUCAUAUCUUAGAUUCCCAAAAUCAAACAGUAGCCAAGUAAGACAGUAAUACAUGCAUUUAAACCAUACAAUAUAUAAACCAGAUAUCAUCAUGCUUU
rnacentral:lncRNA from 1 species